AAUCCAUGUUAUGGACACUUCCACAAGAAAUCCUUUAAUCGCUCCCACAUCUCAAACAAGGAUUCAAGGUUCAUCUGAACAAAUGAUGAUAUAUCAUUAUGAAGCCU